rnacentral:lncRNA from 1 species
GUGAAAACGCGCCAUCAGAUAGAUGAAAUCUUCUCAUUAAUUACACAUUUUGUAUUCGAGCGUAUUUCAAAGGGUGAAGAUAGCAGUUGUUGGUUUGCUCUUGUAGCCCUGAUCAUUGUGUGUGCAUUGUUCUGCUAAUGUCAGUUCUGCCUACAAAUCAGAAAGCGGCGGUGCACCAUGCCCUGAGCCAUCUUCAUGGUGCUCUUUCUGAACCUGACUCUUCAUCCUCUAGAGCUAAGGCUGUGACUCUCAUAAGCUUAGAAAACAGUGAAACGGAAGUUUUUGAGUAGGAUACUCAAUGGACACAUUUUAGGAAAGAAUUCUCUUCCCAAAGUCCAGGUUUGAGUCAAAUGAAUUAACAUUUUUCAGAUAGCCUUAGGAACUACUUAAGCGGGGCCAGGCACUUGAAAUAUUGUCUGAUUUUUUUUUUUUUUUUAAUCUCAUUUGAUGGUGAUAUUUGAACAAACAGAAUUGAUUGUAACUUUGCAGCUGUUUAAUUUAGGUAGCUUUAAUUUAUUUGUGAAAGUUAAUCCAUUUCUGAUAUCUGGUUUUUAAAGAGAAGAUGAAUUCUUAUAUACUAAACUGCAUUACUCAAGACCCCAUACAGGCCAUUCUGUAUAAAAAUCUAUUACUCUGAAAACUGACAACCUUAGAAGAGUUUUUUUGUUUCAUAAAUUUUCCUUGGCUUUAAUUUUACAUAAUCAUUUGGAAAAUAUUAAUAACUAAAAAACGUUCCCAAAAUUUCAACAAUGAAUUUUUGAAUUAACUUUCUUCAUUUCCUUAAACCACUUCCAUUGGUUGU